rnacentral:rRNA from 1 species
AUUGAACGCUGGCGGCAUGCCUUACACAUGCAAGUCGAACGGCAGCAUGGAGAGCUUGCUCUCUGAUGGCGAGUGGCGAACGGGUGAGUAAUGCAUCGGAACGUACCGUGUAAUGGGGGGUAACGUAGCGAAAGUUACGCUAAUACCGCAUACGACCUGAGGGUGAAAGCAGGGGAUCGCAAGACCUUGCGUUAUACGAGCGGCCGAUGUCAGAUUAGCUAGUUGGUGAGGUAAAGGCGCACCAAGGCGACGAUCUGUAGCGGGUCUGAGAGGAUGAUCCGCCACACUGGGACUGAGACACGGCCCAGACUCCUACGGGAGGCAGCAGUGGGGAAUUUUGGACAAUGGGGGCAACCCUGAUCCAGCCAUGCCGCGUGAGUGAAGAAGGCCUUCGGGUUGUAAAGCUCUUUCGGCCGGGAAGAAAUCGCACAGGCUAAUACUCUGUGUGGAUGACGGUACCGGCAUAAGAAGCACCGGCUAACUACGUGCCAGCAGCCGCAGUAA